rnacentral:rRNA from 1 species
GAUGAACGCUGGCGGCGUGCCUAAUACAUGCAAGUAGAACGCUGAAGGAGGAGCUUGCUCUUCUAGAUGAGUUGCGAACGGGUGAGUAACGCGUAGGUAACCUGCCUGGUAGCGGGGGAUAACUAUUGGAAACGAUAGCUAAUACCGCAUGACAACAGUUAUUGCAUGAUAACUGUUUAAAAGGGGCAACUGCUCCACUACCAGAUGGACCUGCGUUGUAUUAGCUAGUUGGUGAGGUAACGGCUCACCAAGGCGACGAUACAUAGCCGACCUGAGAGGGGGAUCGGCCACACUGGGACUGAGACACGGCCCAGACUCCUACGGGAGGCAGCAGUAGGGAAUCUUCGGCAAUGGACGGAAGUCUGACCGAGCAACGCCGCGUGAGUGAAGAAGGUUUUCGGAUCGUAAAGCUCUGUUGUAAGAGAAGAACGAGUGUGAGAGUGGAAAGUUCACACUGUGACGGUAUCUUACCAGAAAGGGACGGCUAACUACGUG